UACGGAGGGUGCAAGCGUUAUCCGGAAUCACUGGGUUUAAAGGGUGCGUAGGCGGCCUGGUAAGUCAGGGGUGAAAGCCCGCCGCUCAACGGCGGGACUGCCCUUGAUACUGCCAGGCUCGAAUUGGGUUGAGGCAGGCGGAAUGUGGCAUGUAGCGGUGAAAUGCUUAGAUAUGCCAUAGAACACCGAUUGCGAAGGCAGCCUGCCAAGCCUUGAUUGACGCUGAGGCACGAAAGCGUGGGGAGCGAAC
rnacentral:rRNA from 1 species